GCUUCUAGCAGGCCAAGGGCAGGGCCUGGUCUAGAAUAGAAAGUUGACAGACAACAGAACACCGUGCCUAAGCAGGACUGAGAGAAUGGAAAAACUGAUCCACAGGAGAUCCACCCUGCCAAUUCAGCGGCCGUUGGAGGAAAUGCUUUCAAAAUAGAAUGCGUGGAGCCUGGCAGGCCAGCACAGGAAGACAUGCCAAAGCUUGCAAGCUCCCUAUCAGAGACAGGGUGGAUCCCGCAUGCUAAAUCAUAGCUUUUCGAAAGUGGACCCGGGUGCCAAUGGUGAACUCCAGGAAUGCAAAUGGAUUGUUGAAGUUAAGCACUUAAAGUUUCACAGUCCUUCUACUUGCUUCUGUCACUGAACAGGACCGAUAUUCCUAAAGACAUGAGGCUGGUGAUGUAUUUCUAGAAGAAGCAUCAUAAGCAAGUCAUUGUUUUUGCCUCCUUGACCUUUACCAUCCUGAUGCCAGCAAUUACCCUGUUUACUGCUAUCUAAAAAGAAAAAUGCUGUGUGGAAGGUCUUGUCUACUGUUAUUGGAACAUUUGGAGAAGUCAUGGAAGAAAAAUAAAAGUUGAUUAAUGUGAUCAGGAGAGAGCAAAUGGAGAGAACUUCAAUAGCAAAUUUUUUUCUUAACAUACUAGGUAGUUUUGACCCAAGUCUGUUUGUUAGGCUAUGUUGAAUUAGUGGGUGGCAAGCAACAACAAAAGAUGGUAAGUACUGUGGUUACAACUAAAGAGGGUGGUACUAAGCCUGCUGGUGGUGACAGAUUUCUUUGACUUGGGUAGAUUUCAGAAGAUUGAAAUACAGGAUGACUGGUUUCUCUCAAGCAAGCUUUUUCUAGACUAUCUGAAAUAGAU